rnacentral:rRNA from 1 species
UACGAGGGGGGCUAGCGUUAAUCGGAUUUACUGGGCGUAAAGCGCGCGUAGGCGGCUGAUUAAGUCAAAUGUGAAAUCCCCGAGCUUAACUUGGGAAUUGCAUUCGAUACUGGUUAGCUAGAGUGUGGGAGAGGAUGGUAGAAUUCCAGGUGUAGCGGUGAAAUGCGUAGAGAUCUGGAGGAAUACCGAUGGCGAAGGCAGCCAUCUGGCCUAACACUGACGCUGAGGUGCGAAAGCAUGGGGAGCAAACAGG